rnacentral:tRNA from 3 species
GGCCGUGUGCCCGAGUGGACUAAGGGAGCGGAUUGCAAAUCCGUUAUUCGUGGGUUCGAAUCCCACCGCGGCCU